rnacentral:lncRNA from 1 species
GCUGACACUUUUUAAAGAGUACUGUUUUUUAAGUUUAAUGCGUAUGUUGAAAAAUGUGAAGACCCUAAUUAAAAGGAGCGGAAGAGUCUGUCUUGGUUUCUAGACACACAGAAAUUCAUCAUUUUGGUAAAUUAUUUGAAAAAAGUUUUGAACUUGUUAAAAGAAAUUGUCAGUAACAGGCCUUUGAAUAUAAUCAGAAAUGUUCAGAACUAGCCAAAGUUUCUAUGUAUAUAAGCAAAAGGAUACUGAUGUAGUAAGAUGGAUAAAACACUAUUCUCUGAAAUUCCUAGGGGCUUGAAAGGCAGAGGAGGUAGGAGUUCGUUGUGGUUGGUUGGUGGUCCUGGGGUAACUGAAUCACUCUCUCCAAGGGGCUGCCCGCUUGGGAGGAUCACAUCUGGGAACUGGGCUUGGGCUAUUGAUCUGGUCUGUCCAUGAAAAACAUGCAUGCAUGAGAGAUGUGAUUCCUCUCUUUGUUACUUUUAAAAAAUACCAGGUGUGACUGGUCACCAUCUGAAAAAAAAAGAAGGGUGGAGCUUUACAUCUAGAUGUUCAGUAGAGGUGAACUGAGAAUGUAUCUUAGAUUCAAGUAGCGAAGCCAGGGAAAAGCAUACAGAAGUCAAUCUCAAGAAUCUUGGAGCUCUCUGGAUGUCCAUGGGUCCUUGAAUUGGAGGUCAGGGCCAACAUUUAAAAAAAAAUGAGUACUAUACAUGACUGGGAUCCAAAGAAAAACUUGUAAACAAAAAAUAGAGAUGGAAAAAAAGAAAAACAGUGUUAUAAAUACAUGGGAUGCUCUGCUGAGCCUCUGUUACCAAACUUGGUCUGUUCAGGACUUGCAGGCUCAGUGUUAGAUGCUGAAGCUCUCUUUAAAUCAGAGGAGCCCUGAUAAAAAUGAACCAACAAUUUUA